rnacentral:rRNA from 1 species
AGCGAACGCUGGCGGCAGGCCUAACACAUGCGAGUCGAGGGGUAUAGUUCUUCGGAGCUAGAGACCGGCGCACGGGUGCGUAACGCGUAUGCAAUCUACCUUUUGCAGAGGGAUAGCCCAGAGAAAUUUGGAUUAAUACCUCAUGGUAUGUGAGAAUGGCAUCAUUUUCACAUUAAAGUCACAACGGCAAAAGAUGAGCAUGCGUCCCAUUAGCUAGUUGGUGAGGUAACGGCGUACCAAGGCAACGAUGGGUAGGGGUCCUGAGAGGGAGACCCCCCACACCGGUACUGCAACACGGACCAGACUCCUACGGGAGGCAGCAGUGAGGAAUAUUGGACAAUGGGCGCAAGCCUGAUCCAGCCAUGCCGCGUGCAGGAUGACGGUCCUAUGGAUUGUAAACUGCUUUUGUACAGGAAGAAACACUGGUUCGUGAACCAGCUUGACGGUACUGUAAGAAUAAGGAUCGGCUAACUCCGUGCCAGCCGCCGCGGUAAUAC